rnacentral:misc_RNA from 5 species
CAACCCUCACGCCCCUAGGGCGUGGUGUUGGGGAUCGGCCAGCGCCCGCGAGGGACGGCCGGCCCCUAAAUCUAGUGGCGGACCCGUCGUGGCCUCCCCUGCGAAGUAGUGAUAUUCCGCAUAGGAGAGCGACGAGCCCCUGCCGUUAAACCCCCAACUUUCUCA